UUUAAAAAAAGUGAAUAAAUGUGGUAUUCAUAAGAAAAAAAAAUUAAUUUUUUAAUAGUUAAUUUUAUUCUAUUUCAAAAUGACUACGUGAUACUGGCGUAUUUCACGACUAUAUAUAGCAUUACUCAAAUAAUUGACAAAGCAUAUUCCAAAGGUCAAAUAAUUUUGCUUUAGAGCUUUUAAACUAUUGGAAAAGUUUAAGAAAAAGCGCUAAAAGGCUCCAUCAAAUAGUGAAAAAGAACAAAAAAAAAAAAAGGAAAAUAAACAUUACGCUUCUUAUGCAUAAGCAGAAAUAACUCUUUUAUAUCUAAUGUAAUUGUUGGUUGUUUAUUUUUCUAGAUGGAGUCUUCUACAAAUGAUGGUUGACUCUUUUCGAAAUAGUUUAAAUCCGAUGAUGUUUAAGAGUCUCAUACGUGCACAAAAUUGGCUUCAUUCUUCUUCUACUCCAAUAAACCUUAGGACUUUAAUAGAUGAAGUGGAUGAAUUUGAGAAGCAGCUUGAUAUGAGUGUCAAAUUCAAUGCCUACUGGCUCUACAUCCAAUGCUGAUUAAAGACUAAAGAGAUAGGUUGCUAAGGGACCUGGCUUUUGGCAGUUUGAGUUUGCUUGGAUCAUCCUAUAAUUGUAUUCUUCUUAGUUGUUAGUUAUGUUAAGUUGUUAACUCAUCUUAUUUAAUAUUAGUGUUUACAUGUGGACACUGCAGUAUCUUAGAGAGAAUGUUUUGGAUUGUAAUUUGUAAUAACUUUUGUGUGUUUUUUUUUGGUUUUGUAACUUCUU